AAAAUAAUUGUGCACACACACACACACACACACACAUACAUACAUACAUACAUGCAUACAUACAUUAGUGUGUGUGUGUGUGUGUGUGUGCCUA